AGAGUUUGAUUAUGGCUCAGGAUGAACGCUAGCUACAGGCUUAACACAUGCAAGUCGAGGGGCAGCAUGGUCUUAGCUUGCUAAGAUUGAUGGCGACCGGCGCACGGGUGGGUAACGCGUAUCCAACCUUCCCUAUAGUAGGGGAUAGCCCGUAGAAAUGCGGAUUAAUACCCUAUGUUGUAUUUCGAUGACAUCUGACGAAUACCAAAGGUUCACCGCUAUAGGAUGGGGAUGCGUCUGAUUAGGUAGUCGGCGGGGUAACGGCCCACCGAGCCAACGAUCAGUAGGGGUUCUGAGAGGAAGGUCCCCCACAUUGGAACUGAGACACGGUCCAAACUCCUACGGGAGGCAGCAGUGAGGAAUAUUGGUCAAUGGGCGAGAGCCUGAACCAGCCAAGUAGCGUGCAAGGAUGACGGCCCUAUGGGUUGUAAACUGCUUUUAUGCGGGGAUAAAGUGAGGGACGUGUCCCUUAUUGUAGGUACCGCAUGAAUAAGGACCGGCUAAUUCCGUGCCAGCAGCAGC
rnacentral:rRNA from 1 species